CGGGACACGUGGUAUCCUGUCUGAAUAUGGGGGGACCAUCCUCCAAGGCUAAAUACUCCUGACUGACCGAUAGUGAACCAGUACCGUGAGGGAAAGGCGAAAAGAACCCCGGCGAGGGGAGUGAAAAAGAACCUGAAACCGUGUACGUACAAGCAGUGGGAGCACGCUUAGGCGUGUGACUGCGUACCUUUUGUAUAAUGGGUCAGCGACUUAUAUUCUGUAGCAAGGUUAACCGAAUAGGGGAGCCGAAGGGAAACCGAGUCUUAACUGGGCGUUAAGUUGCAGGGUAUAGACCCGAAACCCGGUGAUCUAGCCAUGGGCAGGUUGAAGGUUGGGUAACACUAACUGGAGGACCGAACCGACUAAUGUUGAAAAAUUAGCGGAUGACUUGUGGCUGGGGGUGAAAGGCCAAUCAAACCGGGAGAUAGCUGGUUCUCCCCGAAAGCUAUUUAGGUAGCGCCUCGUGAAUUCAUCUCCGGGGGUAGAGCACUGUUUCGGCAAGGGGGUCAUCCCGACUUACCAACCCGAUGCAAACUGCGAAUACCGGAGAAUGUUAUCACGGGAGACACACGGCGGGUGCUAACGUCCGUCGUGAAGAGGGAAACAACCCAGACCGCCAGCUAAGGUCCCAAAGUCAUGGUUAAGUGGGAAACGAUGUGGGAAGGCCCAGACAGCCAGGAUGUUGGCUUAGAAGCAGCCAUCAUUUAAAGAAAGCGUAAUAGCUCACUGGUCGAGUCGGCCUGCGCGGAAGAUGUAACGGGGCUAAACCAUGCACCGAAGCUGCGGCAGCGACGCUGAUGCGUUGUUGGGUAGGGGAGCGUUCUGUAAGCCUGCGAAGGUGUGCUGUGAGGCAUGCUGGAGGUAUCAGAAGUGCGAAUGCUGACAUAAGUAACGAUAAAGCGGGUGAAAAGCCCGCUCGCCGGAAGACCAAGGGUUCCUGUCCAACGUUAAUCGGGGCAGGGUGAGUCGACCCCUAAGGCGAGGCCGAAAGGCGUAGUCGAUGGGAAACAGGUUAAUAUUCCUGUACUUGGUGUUACUGCGAAGGGGGGACGGAGAAGGCUAUGUUGGCCGGGCGACGGUUGUCCCGGUUUAAGCGUGUAGGCUGGUUUUCCAGGCAAAUCCGGAAAAUCAAG
rnacentral:rRNA from 1 species